rnacentral:rRNA from 1 species
GCGACUACGGGGCGGGCGGCGGGGGUAGUGGGUGGGGUCCGGGCGUUGUGCGGAUGGAGUGGGCUGAAAGGGCUCGUAGUCGGGUGGUGGGGUCAGGAGGGAAAACUCAGGGGGCAACCCUGGGCGUGCUUCCGAUACGGGCUGACUAGAGGUAUGCAGGGGAGAACGGAAUUCCUGGUGUAGCGGUGGAAUGCGCAGAUAUCAGGAGGAACACCGGUGGCGAAGGCGGUUCUCUGGGCAUUACCUGACGCUGAGGAGCGAAAGCAUGGGGAGCGAACAGGAUUAGAUACCCCGGUAGUC